AGCCCAAACCAGGGGCUUUGCUCCUGGGGUUGUAGGGCUCCGAUGUGGUAUCCUGAAAGUUAGUCGAAGUGGAUGGAAAACCACUCCAUAGAAGGUGAAAGGCCUGUAAGCGAAAACUGGAUGGAGCCUAGGAUGUCCCUGAGUAAUACGGAACACGUGAAACUCCGUAUGAAUCUGCGCCGACCAUGGCGUAAGGCUAAAUACUAACUGUCGACCGAUAGUGAACUAGUACCGUGAGGGAAAGGUGAAAAGUACCCCUUUGAGGGGAGUGAAAUAGUACCUGAAACCGUGUGCCUACAAGGAGUGGGAGCCUCUUCGGAGGUGACCGCGUGCCUUUUGCUUAAUGAGUCUACGAGUUAGUGUCUGUGGCAAGCUUAAGCACUUUUGGUGUGUAGGCGUAGCGAAAGCGAGUCCGAAUAGGGCGACCAUAGUCGCAGGCGCUAGACCCGAAACGGAGGUGACCUACCCAUGGCCAGGUUGAAGCAACGGUAAAACGUUGUGGAGGACCGAACCGGUACAGGUUGAAAACUGUUCGGAUGAGCUGUGGGUCGGAGUGAAAGGCUAAUCAAACCCCGUGAUAGCUGGUUCUCCUCGAAAUGCAUUUAGGUGCAGCGUCGCGUGCUUACCCUCGGGGGUAGAGCACUGAAUGAGCUAGGGCCCAUACCAGGGUACCAAACUCAACUAAACUCCGAAUACCGGGGGGUGGAACGCGGCAGUGAGACUGCGGGGGAUAAGCUUCGUAGUCGAAAGGGAAACAGCCCAGAUCAGCAGCUAAGGUGCCUAAAUAGUGCUCAGUGGAAAGGAGGUGGGAUUUCAUAGACAGUGAGGAUGUUGGCUUAGAAGCAGCCACCAUUUAAACAAAGCGUAACAGCUGACUCAUCGAGAGAUCCUGCGCCGAAAAUGAUUGGCGAUAAGCACUAUACCGAAGCUCUGGAUGCACAGCUUGCUGUGCGUGGUAGAGGAGCGUUCUCAACACCUUGAAGCCUUAAGGCGACUGAUGGUGGAGCGUUGAGAAGUGAGUAUGUAGACAUGAGUAACGAUAAGCCAGGUGAGAUCCCUGGCCGCCGUAAACCCAAGGUUUCCUGGGCCAUGCUGGUCAUCCCAGGGUUAGUCGGGACCUAAGCCGAGGCCGAAGGGCGUAGGCGAUGGACUAAAGAGGUUAAUAUUCCUCGACUUCCGAUACCUUAAACUAGAAGGACGCAUAUUGAAUGACGAUUAUCUGAUUGAAUUGGGAGGGGAUGGUUUAUCCUGAACCGUAUCGUUUGAAAAUGUGCCAAGAAAAGUUCUAGUGUAUGCUAAGGAACCCGUACCGUAAACCGACACAGGUGGGUGGGUAGAAUAUACUAAGGCGCAAGAGUGAAACCCUGUUAAGGAACUCGGCAAUCUAGCCCCGUAACUUCGGGAGAAGGGGUCCCGUGACUUUGUCACGGGCGCAGUGAAAGGGCCCAUCCGACUGUUUAGCAAAAACACAGCAUUCUGCGAACACGCAAGUGGAAGUAUAGGAUGUGACACGUGACCAAUGCCAAAAGAUUAAGGGGAGGUGUUAGCCUUCGGGCGAAGCUCUGAUCCUAAGUCCUGGUGAAUGUCGGCCGUAACUAUAACGGUCCUAAGGUAGCGAAAUUCCUUGUCGGGUAAGUUCCGACCUGCACGAAUCGUGCAACGAGAUGGGCGCUGUCUCAACAGGGAGCUCAGUGAAAUUGUAUCCGCGGUGAAGAUGCCGCGUACCCGCAGAAGGACGGAAAGACCCUAUAGACCUUAACUGUAAGCUGUCACUGGUUUCUCGAUUUUAAUGCUCAGCAUAAGUGGGAGGCUUUGAACCAUUCCUCUAGGGGAGUGGGGAGCCAUCAGUGAGAUACCACCCUUUAGCAUUGGGGAAUCUAACCUCUAGCCUUUAUCAGGCAGAGGGACCAUGGCAGCCGGUCAGUUUGACUGGGGCGGUCUCCUCCUAAAGAGUAACGGAGGAGCGCGAAGGUAGGCUCAGCGCGGUUGGCAAUCGCGUUUCGAGUGCAUUGGCAUAAGCCUGCCUAACUGCGAGACUUACAAGUCGAGCAGAGACGAAAGUCGGCCAAAGUGAUCCGGCGGUGGAAUAUGGAAUCGCCGUCGCUCAUCGGACAAAAGGUACCUUAGGGAUAACAGGCUGAUCGCGCCCAAGAGUUCAUAUCGACGGCGC
rnacentral:rRNA from 1 species